rnacentral:rRNA from 1 species
UACAGAGGGUGCGAGCGUUGUUCGGAAUUAUUGGGCGUAAAGGGCGCGUAGGCGGUGCGGUAAGUCACCUGUGAAAUCUCCUGGCUCAACUGGGAGCUUGCAGGCGAAGCUGCCGUGCUGGAGUGUGGGAGAGGUGCGUGGAAUUCCUGGUGUAGCGGUGAAAUGCGUAGAUAUCAGGAGGAACACCUGUGGCGAAAGCGGCGCACUGGACCACAACUGACGCUGAGGCGCGAAAGCUAGGGGAGCAAACAGA